AACUGUGGUGGGACCAGGAGUGGGGCUUUCAUGUGUCCCUCCCCUCCUGGGCUCACGCUUUCUCCAUGUGCAGGGGCCACCAGGACCCACUGGCCGCCGAGGAGAGAAGGGGGAGCCUGGUCGCCCUGGAGACCCUGCAGUGGGACCGAUAGGUGCUGGAGCCAAAGGAGAGAAGGCAAGUCUGGCGAGAGUGAAGGGAGGCUGUUACAGGUUGAGCUCAAGGUCGUGGGGCCUACCUGGAGGCCCCUGGAGGUCAUGAGGAUUAUGGCAUGAUUGCUGGCUGGUGGGGGUCACAGAGCCUGGGGCUGACACUGAUGGUCUUUGUCACCUCUAGGGAGAUGUGGGGCCGGCUGGGCCCAAAGGAGCUACUGGAGUCAAAGGAGAGCGGGUGAGUGCAGGGAAGUGUUUAGGGGGUAGGGCAGGUGAAAGUUGUGUCUCCUGACCUCUGACCCUUCCUCCCACAGGGCCCACCUGGCUUGGUUCUUUCUGGAGACCCUGGCCCCAAGGGAGACCCUGGAGACCGGGUGAGUAACUGGGGAUAGGGAGUGUGACAGAAGGAGAUGAGGUGGUGCCUGGGACUAAGCCCUGUCCUCCCU
ensembl:lncRNA